rnacentral:rRNA from 1 species
UGGCGAACGGGUGAGUAACACGUGGGUGAUCUGCCCUGCACUUCGGGAUAAGCCUGGGAAACUGGGUCUAAUACCGGAUAGGACCACGGGAUGCAUGUCUUGUGGUGGAAAGCGCUUUAGCGGUGUGGGAUGAGCCCGCGGCCUAUCAGCUUGUUGGUGGGGUGACGGCCUACCAAGGCGACGACGGGUAGCCGGCCUGAGAGGGUGUCCGGCCACACUGGGACUGAGAUACGGCCCAGACUCCUACGGGAGGCAGCAGUGGGGAAUAUUGCACAAUGGGCGCAAGCCUGAUGCAGCGACGCCGCGUGGGGGAUGACGGCCUUCGGGUUGUAAACCUCUUUCACCAUCGACGAAGGUCCGGGUUCUCUCGGAUUGACGGUAGGUGGAGAAGAAGCACCGGCCAACUACGUGCCAGCAGCCGCGGUAAUACGUAGGGUGCGAGCGUUGUCCGGAAUUACUGGGCGUAAAGAGCUCGUAGGUGGUUUGUCGCGUUGUUCGUGAAAUCUCACGGCUUAACUGUGAGCGUGCGGGCGAUACGGGCAGACUAGAGUACUGCAGGGGAGACUGGAAUUCCUGGUGUAGCGGUGGAAUGCGCAGAUAUCAGGAGGAACACCGGUGGCGAAGGCGGGUCUCUGGGCAGUAACUGACGCUGAGGAGCGAAAGCGUGGGGAGCGAACAGGAUUAGAUACCCUGGUAGUCCACGCCGUAAACGGUGGGUACUAGGUGUGGGUUUCCUUCCUUGGGAUCCGUGCCGUAGCUAACGCAUUAAGUACCCCGCCUGGGGAGUACGGCCGCAAGGCUAAAACUCAAAGGAAUUGACGGGGGCCCGCACAAGCGGCGGAGC